CUGCUAAAUAUUGGAGUAAAAUUGUGGUUUUUCUCUAUUUUGGCAGAUACACAUAAGGUUUUUGUAAUGUGUAUUUCUUAAGCUGGUGUGUGCUAUCCCUAUAUAUUGUGUUCAGCUACAUCUGCUGAGUACAACAAUACCCCCAUUGUAUAACUUUGUCCCUAUUCUGUGAAGCUACAAUGCCAUAUAGGAGACCAUGCUAUUUCAGUUUCUAUAAUUGGAAUUUUCAUAGAUGGUCAUAUGUCUGAUUUUGUGGCAUUAUAACCAUUUGACUGUUCAAAUAACCCCACAAAGGC